UUGGGGGGCUGCGAUGCGCCUUGGUGACCGCGAACACGUACAGAGCGUUUGAGUGCUGGGGUUCUUACUGUACGAGGUGAAGGGUACUGUUAUGUAUACGUGCAAUGUGUCGCAGUGGUGCUAGGCGUAUAAGUAUUCGUUUUAUGCGAUAUGCAUAUGCUCUGAAGUGAACCGUGCAUACAGAACGGUUUGUACAGAACAUUAGACCCAAAAUUCAAGGAUGCCAAAACCAAAAUUCAAGGAGGCGGAAACAAACCGUACUUGUACACAUACAUUGAAAAAUAAUGAAACCUCCUUCUCCUUGGCCGAACUUUCUUGUAGCUAAGCAGCUGCUGAGUUGGGCACACACUACAAGCUCUUUAGGGUGCUUUUUAUGCAUGUGCUCUGAAUUAAACAGUGCAGAAGCACUGCUGGUCGUUUGUGCUCUUUGCAUCUCAGUAUGGGUUUUGUAUCAAACCAGCUUUCCUUGCUUUGUACACGUGUUGUUUGUUUCCAGUGUUGUCACUGCACAUUUUACUCUUCACGAAGAGGGGAGGCUAGGGAACAGCUUAAAAGUUAUAUCACUGCUCCACAUAUUGCAAUUAUUAAUUUUGUGCUAGGUGUCAUGUGCUGUAAUGUAAACAAUGCAAAUGUGCCGCAUGCUAUUUUUUGCGGAUGUGACGACACUGCAACGCAGCUUCUCUGCCACUGCCCAACCUUUCAUGCUGAACGAUGUGCUUUGCCAGUUAUACUCCAUCUCAGUAGUUCCUUGCAGCACUGGGGCAGCGGCAGGGCUCUUAGCCAAUAGGAAGGCUGAAUUCCCCUCAAGAUGUGUUCAUCCAUGCUGCGUCAGCUGCUCAGCGUCUGCUUGCCAUCCUUUUGAUACAUCAGCCACUGUUGGAGCAGUGACGCAACAAAUGUUCCUACGUUGUAACUAAAGGCUGCGUAUUCCAUGAAUGCUACUGUUGGGCUUCGCUUCAUCGACACGCUAUCUGAGCAGUUCAAUACAGCCUCCUGAGCCAGUUUUAGUAAAAGUGAACACCCUGAUAAAUGUUCACAUGCACCGCGCCAUCUGCUCAGCGUGUAUUUGACGUUUGCUCACCGCUGUCAUCACGUACCGUACUAGAGCAGAGUAGGAAUUAAUGAUGCAGUGAACAAUGACGCCUUCGUAGCGUUCUGCAUCGUCAAUGCAUCACCAUUGCUACUGCUGUGGUGUCACCUGCUAAAUAGAAACCGAACCACUUUUACUGCCUGUGUAGUCCUAGCAGUGUCAAAACAAACAGCUGAUCUCAAUAAGAACAACAAGAAAUACCUAAUGCUUUGUCCUCAGCAUGAGAUGAGACUACGCAGUGAUGGAUUUUACCAUUUAUUUAUUGCUGUCAGGGCGUACAGCUAGUAAAAGGGCAAAUUGAGAUUGAAGCGGGUGGUCUGGGCUGCAUAGGUGGUGCCAUGUUGCUGCGUAAUCAUGGUUAGGGUGGCUACUGAUGUUACCAGUGCUAACCGCCACAGUAAUUCAUCGUACAAGACGGGCAUGCGAGAAGGGCCUAACAUCUGUAAAUCUUUUGUGAACGUCACCAUGUAGCCUGCACCAAAGGACAACAAAGCUAGGCAACAUGAGAGACGUAAGGCGUGGAAUUGACGAGGGAACAAUGUUUAGCUUCAUGCACCUUCGCAACGAUCCAUCUCCUUACAUUAAUUAUCUGCCAUCAUGUCAACAAACUCAUUGAAGUUCGACUUGUAAAUGUAACAUGGAUGUAUUAUGCUGUUGUCGUGAUCUAAAUAAAAAAAUGAAGAAAGGUGCAUUAGGUGUUUUGCAAAAAAAAAAAGAGAGAAGGAGGUGAACCCUCAUUUCCUAUAUGGGAGUAGGCAAGAGAGAAAGGUCCUUUGCGUUGCUGGUUGGGCAAAGAAAGAAUGCCUCUGUGCACGAAGAGCAGGUCACGUUCUUGUACUACAGAUUCUUCGCUUCUAUUUCGGCUGCUACUAGGCCGUUUUAAAGAAUUCUUGUGGUAGAAUAUUCCUUGGAAGACACUUUACAACUUUUAUAGUAUAACUAAAAUUUUCCACUGGGCCCUGGCGAAUGGUCCUCUUAAAUUUCUGAGGGGCCCAUCAAGGGGUUGUACAAAUUAGAUGAGUUGUUUCUAUGUAAACCUCACAUUGACAAGCUUUGCAAAAAUCUCGGCAAGGCUUGUUAUAUUCUGCUCAAGAGCCGAAAUUGUUUUGAUACAGAAACCCUUCGAGAAAUUUAUUUCAGCUUGUUCCACAGCCAUCUGUGGUACUGUGUUGCAUCUCUGGGCCAUUCAUACAUUGAGCCAUUUAUAAAACUUCAAAAGAGGGCUGUCCACUUUAUGACUUCCUCACAAUACAAUGCUAACACGACACCGCUCUUUCAACACGUACACAUUUUACCGUUUACUUCAUUACUAAAUUUUUAAACUCUUGUAAUGGUUAAUAGUAGCAUCGUUACUGACUACCCACUCUCUGCUACCAACUUUACCGAAUCAGGACGCUGUACACGCAGUGCACUAAAACAAAAUUUUCUGGUUCCAAAGGCUUGUAAUGUGUGUGGUAAACGGAGAAUUUGAAGUGUUGGAGUAGUCGAGAGGAACGUUCAGCCCACGUAAGCUAGAAAUGCAGCUAAUUUUCAGAGAUAAUUAAAACUGCAUUUUCGUGAUCUUCUUUCGUAUGUUUAUUAAUACAUUCACCGCUUCCUUUCUCUUUUUUCUGGUGCAUUUUCCUUUACUUGUAGAUGUUCAAUGAUACCGUUUGCAUUUUGAAGAUUCUUUGUAUUGUAUUCUCUACUUCUUCUAAUGUAAAGUGCAUAUUGUUGCUGAGUUUAAGUACAUGUGUCUGUGCUAAAUAAUUGCUUUGCUUCCUCUACAUUUUUUAUGGAUUGCAACUGGCCUUGAGCUAGGGAUCCCAAUGUAUUUGUUCACAUUAUGUUUUACUCUGUACUGUACGUAAGAAAUAAAGUUUAAUUCAAGGAAA